rnacentral:misc_RNA from 1 species
GCCUAUUUAAAUACUACGCAAUUUUUUUGUAAGAGCAGUUUUUUUUUAAUUAUCUUUUUUUUUUUUUUAAAUAAAGUUGAAUACAUAAAUGGCUCAAGCUCAAGCUUGGCUUGAUUUCACCAAGUGAGCUAUCGUUUGACCAAACUUAAGCUUGUUAAAAAUUUGGAGAACCAAGCUUGAACUCCUCAAAGCUAAACUUGGU